rnacentral:lncRNA from 1 species
CCACGCAGUGCUAAGAAACAGAGUCUGAGCUACAAACAUGCCUGAUGUUCUCUCACUGCUCAGCCUGGGAGACAAGGGCCACUGCAGAGACUCCGGGCCAUGAGCAGUCAAGACGUGAUGCUGCUUCUUUCUCUGCAAGGACUGUCCAUCAGAAGACAGGCUUCUGCCCAGACCUUCAUCCGUGCCUGGUUCAGAAAGAGCUUGGAACCUCUCCAGCAGUAUUAGGUUACCCUUUGCUGUCACUGUGGUUUUACGUUCUAUCAGAGAAAAGAAGAGCUGACUCAUUGGAAAAGACCCUCUUGCUGGGAAAGAUUGAGGGCAGGAGGAGAACAGGGUGACAAAGGUUGGAUGGCAUCAUUGAUUCAAUGGAUGUGAAUUUAAACAAACUCUGGGAGAUGGUGAAGGACAGGGAAGCCUGGUGCGCUGAAGUCCAUGGGGUCAUCAAGAGUCAGACAUGACUGAGCGACUGAACAACAACAAGAGAAAAGCAUCAUCUCAGAUUUCUCAGAAAAAGCCCUUUUCCCAUCCUUCAGAAGCCUCGGGUUAUUCACACAUUAGCUUUGUAGCAGUCCAGACAUUCGACACACAACAGGGUACCAGGGUUCUGUGUCGUUCCUCAAGAGACCCCUGGAGCCUGGCCAACCGUCCUUGCCUUCUUUUUCUGGCCUGCACUCUAUUGCUCUGCUCUUGAGGAGCAGGUCUCAAAUCAUUUGCUCAUUCAUGCAACAGACCUCCCCAGCCACAGACAUGGUGCUGGGCUCCAGAGGGGGCCAGCAAAACAGCAAGAACAGUUAUAUUUAUUGAAGACGUUAAUGAGCAUGUCAAGCCCUCAGCAUAUAUCACCCAAGUCCACAUGGCAGCCCUCUGAGGGAGACAACACUGCCACUCCAUCUUGAAAACAACCGGAAUUCAGAAGAUCGACUCAUUGGCUCAAAGGCAGAUGGCUAGUGAACAGCAGAGGUACAAACCUCAGAGCCCAAGUCCUCUGCUAAGACUUCGGAACCAACAUGAACGCUUGACCACCACGCCACUCGGUGCUGGCGAAUGCACAGGUUGCAUCUUUGCCACUUGACAUAAGGUCCAGGCAACAUAAAUUGCAUCAUAUGGGACAGACAGAAUUGGGAUAGAGUGAGGUUCCAUUUCUUGCCAGAGCUAAAGGUUUUGUUGAAAUAUGAAACAUGAAUGAGGGAUUUGCUGUCCAUCUCUGAUAAAUACACAACUGUAACUCCAAUUUCCCACCUCUCUCCAUAUCCACGCCCUUUGCAAUAGGAUUUUAGGGCCCCUAAUAUCCAGAAAGAGAGUUCGUUUCUGGACUCCUCGAAUACAAGCCAUCUUGUG